GUCUCAAAUGUCCCCUGUGGAGAAGCGAAUCAGAAGACUGGGAUCAACCGACAGCUGCAGGACUUCUUGGCUUAUGAGAAAGUGAACUGCGUCAAGCAUUCCCUCAGGAAGCCAGAGAACGAGACAUCUCCCCAGUGGCCUCGUGGACUCUGGAGAAGCUCUGGAAUGAGGAGUCGUUGAACGCGUCAGCAUAUUAGAACAUGACAGUGCCUGGGAUGUUCGUGAGGAUCGUCCCAUUCCUCUGUCAUGUAUGUAGGGCGUUGCGUGCCUUCUAUGUUCGAGGUCAUCUUACUGCCAAGAGAUGGUUGCUGUAGCUCCAUCCAUCACUUCUGCCUUGCAGACAUCUGGAAGAAAAAAGGAGAUGGGUAAAGGCGGCUGCGUCCCAGUUGAGUCAACUUCUUUUGAAGAGCUUUCCUUGAAACGUUCCCAAAUAACUUCCGCUUAAAUCUCGUUGGCCACCUGUAUCUAUAAGGGAGGUUCAGAAAUGUGAUUUUUCAGCUGGGCAAUGUGUCUAACCGUGUAGGUGUCUGUUACUAAGGAAGAAGGGAGAAGGUGGUUGGGUGGGCAAGUAGCAGCCUCUGCUGCAGUAGCUGUGGUUCUGCUUCCCUCUCUAGGC